UGGGGAAUUUUGGACAAUGGGGGAAACCCUGAUCCAGCAAUGCCGCGUGAGUGAAGAAGGCCUUCGGGUUGUAAAGCUCUUUUGUCAGGGAAGAAACACCGGCUCUAACACAGUCCGGGAAUGACGGUACCUGAAGAAUAAGCACCGGCUAACUACGUGCCAGCAGCCGCGGUAAUACGUAGGGUGCAAGCGUUGUUCGGAAUUACUGGGCGUAAAGCGCCUGUAGGCGGUUUAAGAAGUUGGGUGUGAAAUCCCCGGGCUCAACUCGGGAACUGCGCCCAAAACCAUUAAGCUUGAGUGCCAAAUGGGUACGUGGAAUUCCCAGUGUAGCAGUGAAAUGCGUAGAUAUGCGGAGGAACACCGAUGGCGAAGGCAAUCCCCUGGACCUGUACUGACGCUCAUGCACGAAAGCGUGGGGAGCAAACAGG
rnacentral:rRNA from 1 species